CGAAAAGUUCAAGGGGGCCGAAUACUUUCGCAAGGCACUGUAGAUCCCUCGACUCCCUGGAGGAAAAACAGAAGCUGAUGAAUGCCUUGUCCAGGGUGGGAGGAGUCCACUUGAAAGACAAUGUUAAAAGGGCCAUGGAGAAAGAGUGUCCAGAGGACGACUGCAGAAAUGGAGGCAAGCAUUGCAGCGGCUGUCGCCUUCUGUUUGACUACAGCUUCAAGGAGCAUUUUCAUUAUGUUUGCCACCAUAAGUAGCUACUGAGCAAAGUCUUUUAAAACUACAAGUUUUAAAAUAAAGAGGUUAUUUUCUUAACUCAA